rnacentral:rRNA from 1 species
GACGAACCGUGCGAACGUUAUUCGGAAUCACUGGGCUUAAAGGGCGCGUAGGCGGGUCACCAAGUCCGGGGUGAAAUCCCACGGCCCAACCGUGGAAGUGCCUUGGAUACUGGAGACCUCGAGGGGGAUAGGGGCGUGCGGAACUCAGGGUGGAGCGGUGAAAUGCGUAGAUAUCCUGAGGAACACCGGUGGCGAAAGCGGCGCGCUGGAUCCCUUCUGACGCUGAGGCGCGAAAGCCAGGGGAGCAAAGCGGG